GAUGAACGCUGGCGGCGUGCUUAACACAUGCAAGUCGAACGGAAAGGCUCCUGCUUGCAGGGGUACUCGAGUGGCGAACGGGUGAGUAACACGUGGGUGAUCUGCCCUGCACUUCGGGAUAAGCCUGGGAAACUGGGUCUAAUACCGGAUAGGACCACAUUUUGGAUGGUGUGGUGGAAAGUUUUUCGGUGUGGGAUGAGCUCGCGGCCUAUCAGCUUGUUGGUGGGGUAAUGGCCUACCAAUGCGUCGACGGGUAGCCGGCCUGAGAGGGUGUACGGCCAGUGUGGGGUGGAGGUGCGGCCGAGGCUAGGAGGGGAGGGAGGGGUGGGACAUAUGGAGACAGGGGGGCAGUCCGGAGGCAGCGGCGAGGGGGGGGGGAGGGCGGCGUGGGGGUGGAACACUGCUGGCGGGGGGGACGAAGGCGAGGGGGAGGUACCGGGAGAAGAGGCCCUGACAAACGACGGACCAGCAGCGGCUGUAAGAAGAGGAAUAGCCACCUUCCGAAC
rnacentral:rRNA from 1 species